ensembl:snoRNA
AUCCUUUUGUAGUUGAUAAGCAUGAUGGUUGAGUGUUCACAUGCAUGUGUGAGAUAUGCCACCCUUAAACCAUGUCAGCACAUCAGUACAUUACCCAUCUGAUA